rfam:Sulfurovum sp. AS07-7 Sequence0000016756, whole genome shotgun sequence.
GUAGCAGAUCGGUGUGCGGAUGGUAUCGUUUGAGCAUAAUUUAUGUGAGAUACUGACCCCUAAAGAUCUCUCUCUCCUGCAUCGUUGGCUUAUUAGGGCCGACUUUUUAACAGAACGGCCGGUUGGGU